GGGGCUAUCGUCUAAUGGUUAGGACUCCUCGCUUUCAAUGAGGGUGUAUCGGUUCGAAUCCGUUUAGCCCUA
rnacentral:tRNA from 1 species